AUGCAGGUUAAGCGUUACACGCCCUCCUUUUUUAAAAAAAUUUUUCCUUUUAUUUCCUCCCCCUACCCGUCUUCUUUUUUUUUUUCUUUCCUUUUUUUCUUCCCCUCCCCCCUUCUCGUUUUCGAGUGCGGCCGCUCGGCGGCCAAGGUCGCCGCUGCCCCUGCAGCGCAGCCCGAGCGGGGAAUUUGGCGAUGGUCCCUCAACGCACAGCAUGCUCGGCCGCCCUGCCCUGCCCCCCUCCCCUCCCCGCCCCGCCGCAGCCUCUCUCCUCCUGUCUGCAAAGGUGCAGCACCUCCAAGGAAGAGGUGGAAUACGGUCAUUCUCUAGCACGUAAGAUAACCUUCCAGUACACAAUUCCAGUGAAAGUCAUCCUGCCCCACAGCCAUGCAAAUGUUCCUACAUACAAAUGUUCAUUGCCGCCUAUUACAUUCUUCUGCUGACAGUGAAGAGGUCAUGCUAAAUCAAACUGAUGGAGAAAGUGGACAUCAUCUUUACCCAGGAUGCCCAAAUUAAUUCUACUGAGACAAAGGUGGGGGAACAACAAAGGAUGAUUUGCUUUUGUACAUUGCUGGUUUUAACUACUCUGUUUAUUACAUUGGUAUCUCUGGUAUUUGUGUUCAGAGUGAGCCAGAGAAAUAAGCACCUGCUUAGGACAUGAGACCUCAGGGACUUGUGACAUUUCUGUCAACAGCAGUUUUCAGGCCAGCCUAAUUAUU
rnacentral:lncRNA from 1 species